AUGUGUAAUGCUUCUAGGUCAUAGAGGUUGCUAACACAAUAAUGAAUAAAAUUAAAAAUGACCACAUCUAUCAGAGAGUGCAUGUGCCACACAUUGGGGAUAAAAUGAAAGAGAGUUAACUAAGAAUAUGAAAGUGUGAUGAGUUCAGUGUCAUUCAGGUGAGAGGCGACAAUAAAGCAACGGGGUACUUUAUGGCCUUAGCCAAAAGGUGAGGUGAGGCGAGUGCUUUUUUGAAGCGAGGCGCUAUAUAUAUAUAUAGCUAAAAUCACCGCCCUAACAAUUCUACCAAUAUUCAGUGGAUGUCUAGAUCCAUCACUCAGUGACCAAGCAAGCAUACAAAGAAAAUACUAAUUUAAAAAACAGAAAAAAAAUAAAGUGUAGAUGCUAUAUAGAUGGUUGUGAGUGAGAGAAGAAUAGUAUAGGAGGAGAAGGAGAGAAAAGAAGAAAA
rnacentral:misc_RNA from 1 species